rnacentral:rRNA from 1 species
AGUGAACGCUGGCGGUAGGCCUAACACAUGCAAGUCGAACGGCAGCACAGUAAGAGCUUGCUCUUACGGGUGGCGAGUGGCGGACGGGUGAGGAAUACAUCGGAAUCUACUUUUUCGUGGGGGAUAACGUCGGGAAACUUACGCUAAUACCGCAUACGACCUACGGGUGAAAGCAGGGGAUCUUCGGACCUUGCGCGAUUGAAUGAGCUGAUGUCGGAUUAGCUAGUUGGCGGGGUAAAGGCCCACCAAGGCGACGGUCCGUAGCUGGUCUGAGAGGAUGGUCAGCCACACUGGAACUGAGACGCGGUCCAGACUCCUACGGGAGGCAGCAGUGGGGAAUAUUGGACAAUGGGCGCAAGCCUGAUCCAGCCAUGCCGCGUGGGUGAAGAAGGCCUUCGGGUUGUAGAGCCCUUUUGUUGGGAAAGAAAAGCAGCAGGUUAAUACCCCGCUGUUCUGACGGUACCCAAAGAAUAAGCACCGGCUAACUACGUG